GGGUGUGGGAGUCACUGCCCUCUGACUGGCUACUGAACAGCAAUUUCCCCUUUUCUUGCUUAUUAAGAGAAUCCUGAUCCGGGCUACCCUAUCUGUGCUUCCAGGGACGUGGGCCCAGAACCAUUGUGUGAAUGUUUCUCAUGGAGUGAUUGAUAUUGCCUCCCAGAGGACAUCAGCAAUGUCUAGAGACAUUUCCAGUUGUCACUACUUGAAAGGAAGCACAAUCUGCAUCCAGAAGGGAGAGACAAGGAUGCUGUUACUCAAUAUCCUACAAAUGCACAGAACAGCUUCUACAACAAGGAGUUAUCCACCAAAAACGUCAGCAGUGCCAAGGUUCAGAGAACCUGCUCUAGGAUGCCAUUGUGUCUGUGAUGUGGUGUCUAGAACUAUGGCUGUCAUCUUGGAACCAUGAGAGGAGUUAGCUGAAGAAACAGGAGGAUGGCAAAGUGGAAGGAUGGAAGUUACCUGAGGCUGAGGACAUCAGUACACCUCUCAUUUAACCAGUCCUUGAGAAUUCUUGUUAUAUGAGAUAAUCAAUUCCAUUGCUGUUUAAGUCAUGUAUAGGGCUUUAAAUUUUUUUCAUAGCUGAAAACAUCCUGGCAUACGUUUUAUAUUUUUAUUUGAUAUGUGGAAAAAAAAAAUAAAACAUAGGAGGAAAGAUACUAACCUCCUUUGGGGCAAGCUCUACAAUUGUCUAGUGAUAAAAUAAUUUUGCUUUGCUGUGCUUCCAGAAUGGCCUGGAAACUAACUCAUGAUCUUAUGAUACUGGAAGUUGAUAAAAUCAGUGGGGGAAAAACAUCUGUCUAUUAAUGCAUAAGAUUGUGUUUUUUAAGUAAAUGAGUAGGCUCUCAUGUGACAUUUUGAAAUCUUUAAGAAAAUGACAUUUUCCAGUCAGGGAGUCUGCAACAUUAGCAUGAGACCAGUCAGCCUGUCCUUAUUCUUCUUAAGCCCUAGCCCACCUAAUUCACAGACACCUGCUACAGCACAGAAGGAACUGCCUGCCUAAAAUAACCUAGUUACAUCAGCCUGUUAAAAAUGGUCGUGGGGAUAGAUUUUGCUCAGCAUUGGGUUCUUUGAACAACAACAAAAAAACCAGCAACUUAUUCUGCAGUUUUAGAGUUUGCUGACAUUUUCUUACCAGGCGUAACUAUGCUUUUAUUGCCAAG
ensembl:lncRNA